rnacentral:tRNA from 1 species
GCCCGGGUGGCGGAAUUGGCAGACGCGCAAGGUUCAGGUCCUUGUUCCUUUAAACAGGAGUGGGGGUUCGACUCCCCCCUCGGGCACCA